CCUACGGGAGGCAGCAGUGAGGAAUAUUGGUCAAUGGCCGGGAGGCUGAACCAGCCAAGUCGCGUGAGGUAAGACGGCCCUACGGGUUGUAAACCUCUUUUGUCAGGGAGCACGGUGCUGGUCGGUACCUUCUGUUAGCGUACCUGAAGAUACAGCAUCGGCUACCUCCGUGCCAGCAGCCGCGGUAAUACGGAGGAUGCGAGCGUUCUCCGGAUUUAUUGGGUGUAAAGGUUGCGCAGGCGGGGGCACAAUUAAGCGGUAAAAUGGCGGGGCUCAACCCCGCUCCGCCGUUGAAACUUUGUCCCUUGAGUGCGCGAAGGGUAGGCGGAAUGCGUGGUGUAGCGGUGAAAUGCAUGGAUAUCACGCAGAACUCCGAUCGCGAAGGCAGCCUACCGGCGCGCAACUGACGCUCAUGCACGAAAGCGUGGGUAUCGAACAGGAUUAGAUACCCCUUGUAGUC
rnacentral:rRNA from 1 species